rnacentral:rRNA from 1 species
CUGGUUGUGACCUCGAUGAAUAGGGCGGGACACGUGAUAUCCUGUCUGAAGAUGGGGGGACCAUCCUCCAAGGCUAAGCAUUCAUC